rnacentral:rRNA from 1 species
AAUGAACGUUGGCGGCGUGGAUUAGGCAUGCAAGUCGAGCGUGAUAGGUUUGGUGCUUGCAUUAAACCUUGAAAGCGGCGAAAGGGACAGUAACGCGUAGAUACCUACCUCCAGGUCCGGGAUAGCGGCGGGAAACUGCCGGUAAUACCGGAUAAUGUCUUCGGACCAAAGGUGUGAUUCCGCUUGGAGACGGAUCUGCGUCCUAUUAGCUAGUUGGUGGGGUAAUGGCCCACCAAGGCGAUGAUGGGUAGCGGGCGUGAGAGCGUGGCCCGCGUCACUGGGACUGAGACACUGCCCAGACACCUACGGGUGGCUGCAGGCGAGAAUCUUCGGCAAUGGGCGCAAGCCUGACCGAGCGACGCCGCGUGCGGGAUGAAGGCCUGCGGGUUGUAAACCGCUGUCGGAGAGGCGGAAAUCUCUAGGGGUUCUCCCCUGGAGUUGACCUAAUCUCGGAGGAAGUCCGGGCUAAGUCCGUGCCAGCCGCCGCGGUAACAC